rnacentral:rRNA from 1 species
CAGCCGCCGCGUAAUACGAAGGGGGCUAGAGUUGUUCGGAAUUACUGGGCGUAAAGCGCACGUAGGCGGACAUUUAAGUCAGGGGUGAAAUCCCGGGGCUCAACCCCGGAACUGCCUUUGAUACUGGGUGUCUAGAGUAUGGAAGAGGUGAGUGGAAUUCCGAGUGUAGAGGUGAAAUUCGUAGAUAUUCGGAGGAACACCAGUGGCGAAGGCGGCUCACUGGUCCAUUACUGACGCUGAGGUGCGAAAGCGUGGGGAGAAAACAGGAUUAGAUACCCCAGUAGUCCCUGUCUCUUAUACA